rnacentral:lncRNA from 1 species
CUUUUUUUUUUUUUUUUUUUUUUUUUUUUUUUUUUUUGCCAUGAGCCAAGUCCAUCUCUGAUGUCACAAGGUUUAAUCAAUGGAGUUAUUUAGCAUGCUGUGCUGAAUUAGUCCCUGAUAAGCUUAGAUCCUGCUGGUAUCCAGCUCUUCAUGGGUUUCCUGUGCUGUCUUUGUUAAGGUAAUUGCCAGGCUUGACCACAUGUGAAAAGGAUGACUUGCUCUCACAGAUAUGCCAGAGCAGCAGUUCAGCACUGAUUGAAUUUGUCAUGGUCUGGUGUUUGAUGUGUUCCUGGCUGCUCUUCUCAGAACUGAAGAGUAAAAACUUUAUUGAGAAGAGGUUAAUGUUACAACAAGUUAAAACUGACUGAAAUAGUACAUCAGGUCAGGACAGGGUUGCCUACUGUGAGGAGACUAAGACCAGGUCAUUGUAGGUAGAUUUUUGCUGAGAUAGAUUUGAAAUAAGACACUUCUGAAUAUUACCAGGAAGGGAAACCUUCGCAGGAGAGGAAGAGCUGUCCUUUGUUUCAAGUUAUGUUGAUUCACCAGGUCAGUUCUCAUCACAAUGCAGAAGUUUUCAAGGACUCUAAGAGAAGAUUUCUCACAGCAAGAAGAUUUGCAGCAGCAAAUUAAGAGGUUUCUUCCUUCAGCUGUCUUCUCUGUCCUCUUCCAGAGACCAUCACUUUCAGACCAAAACCAGUAAAGAAUACUGGAACAUCACAGAUGGCUUGGCAAAGAGAAAACCGUGGAUUUUAACCUAGGAAGUCUGUGGUGUAGCGAGGGUAUAAUUGCAAUUGUUUUCAGAGUGGCCAAGUGGAAAUUUUUGUGGAGUUGGUGGUUUUUUUUGUGUGUGUUUUUUGGUGAGAUAUAGUUUCACUCAGCUGAAAAGAGCAAAAGAAAAUAUUUAGACAUUGGCAUCCUUAUCUCUCACCAUAGCUAUGUGGCCUUUCUGGGAGCCGUUUCAGGAGGAUAAAUUGAGCCGGGUGCAAAGGGAGUUUCAGGUGCAAUGAUUUUGUUGGGAUGAGAGUCUGUUUUAUCUCCUGUCACAGUGGAAAGUUCAGGAUAGUUUCUUUUUGUACAGUUUUACUCCACUAAUUCCCUUGAAAACUGUGCUUGCAGAGCUGACCUUGUGCUUAACUGAUGCCAGCAGAAAUCUGUGCCCCCUACCAGCAUCCCGAGUGAUGGAUGUGUUACAGCAGGAUCAGCUGAUGCGAGGGAGUGCUGUCUGCCUGCACACCAACAUCUCCGCUACAAUGCAGCACUUGGAUAUUUACUUCCCCUGUUUUCCUUACAAUUAUUUAGUUUUAGCAUAAAUGGUGAAUGUUUUUAACCCUUUUUAUGCAGAGAAAUUAACUGACAAUCAUAUAAGAAAGUAAUCCAUCUAAGUUGAAAUAAAAUAAUCCUAAUCUAAUCAAAAUCCUAGUGAUGUAGACAUUAUUCCUAGGGUGUUUUAUGUUACCUAGUUGAAUUGGUGAAAGUUUUUUUGUGCACAGCAGAACUCAAUAAAAGUAACUCAAAAGUCCCUGGACCAUUUUUUGUACCACUUAUAGGGGGUGUUAUCCUGACCCAGCAUCUUGAGAAUGUUUUUAUUAGAGACUUGUGGAGUUCAAAUAUCUGGUGUACUUAAUCCAUGGAGGACCUGCAGAGAGUAUGUAAUGAGACACAGACUUCUUUGUGCCCCAUUCACCAUUAACACAUGGCCAGUGGAGCUAAUCAAAACUACACUUGCUGAAAAACACAGCUUUAUUCUUCAGCAUCUUUUUUUUUUUUUUUUCCCCAGUACUCACCUACUUAUAACAAGAGGAGCAAAGUUCUUUGUGCCAUUAGAUUUUAAAUUCUGGUAAUAAGUAGGUACUUUCAGGAAAAAAAAUUAUUGCCUAUGCUGAUGAGAAAUGCAGGAGGUGAAGCUAUACUUAGCUCUGAUCCUGCUGGUUGAUUCCUUAAAAAUCCAGUGAGAGCAGUGGAUAGCAAGAGCCCUACAUAGUGGGACCAGUCCUUCUGAGAACUCUGGAAGCCUUAGCAGGGCUAUGAGAAAUCCCAAGCAUGCAUCCACUUACUCACUCAGAGUCCACACCUCACUCUUACAAAGGCUGCAUAAUGUAUGAGCUGUUCUUUCUUUCCAGAAAAUUUCCCCAAUCUUCCCAAAGCUUCUCUACACAUAUUCCUUAAACCUGAAUUCAUGACAGUUUCAUUCAUUUGCCAGCAAGAUUGCCUAUGUAAGGGAAUAUCCCUAUCCAGAAUAUGGAUAUAUUGGACUGAAGCCAUUAGCUCUUGAUCUGAGAGCAGAAAUUUAUAGAUUUGCAGGAAUAUGCUUUAUUGAAUAAUACUCUGGGAAAUGCAGGCAUGAGUCACUCAGAAUAUGCCACUUAUAAAAGGAGAAAUAUGGAAAAAUUGAUGUGUUCCAUAUUUUUAAUGCUCAGUGAAGGGUUAAUUCGAAUGGACCUUGUAACAUUUGAUGGGUUAUACUUAUUUUUCUUUUUUUUUUUUUCCUUUUUAUUUGCUGCUUCUAAAAAAGACCUUAUAUUUUAUUACAAGUCUUGAUUUCUCCAGGAGUGUAUUUUGGUGAUUCAUGAGCUAUGGACUAUGGUGUUUGCUGUACUUCAAUUGUUUUUCCUAACCUUCCAAAAACAUUCUAAACUGUUUGAGCAUAGCUCUUGCAAACUGCAGCUAUUUAAAGAUUAGGUGUUUUCAGAAAAUAAUUCACUAGCUGUUGGAGGGUUUGUGCUUUUGAAGGUCUGGCUCUUCCCUUUCCCAGUCCAUUGUUUUGAGCAAUUGUGCUGUCUUACAUGCAGUAUGAAUUCUGGACUUUGACAUGCUUGGAAUAAAAUUAUAACUUUAUGAAUAUUACAUACAUGAUGUGAUGGCUUUGAGACACUGCUAUCACAACGAAAAUCCUAUUGUGUGUGGCCCUGUUUAGACACAGGGAAGCAGAUCUAAACAAAGAACACAUAAGUGAUUUUUGAUAUUAUGUGUUAGAAUUAACACAGCAUGUGCCAGCAGGUUCCAUUUCUUUAGCAAAGACUGCAAAUUAUGUAAGUUUCCAGAAGCAGUUAGUAUUUUGCUGAAUGCCAGCAAGUAUCUAAAUUUUAGUGGCAUUGAAUGGCAUCUGUGUAUGUGAUGGCCCAACUGAAUGUAUCAGAAUGUGUAAUUCUGCAAAGAUGAGGUGAACUUCAAAUCAGAGUAUUCAAGGACAGAUAUCAGACAUUAAGAAGGAUGGGGAUGUCCACAAAUACAAUAAUAAUAAUGAAUUUUAAAAUUGGCAAUUAUAUUUAUGAAUAAUUACUAAUUAAUAGUUAAUUAUCAGUUAUUAAUUAAUAAGACUUAAUUAUUUAUUUCAGUAGUAAAAGAUUGGAUUUUUUGUUUCUCAUUUGAAAAAAACAUCAAAUCUGUCUAUCUCUCUCUGACUUUGGUCUUUCAUUCCUUUUAGAGCCAGAAUAAGGAUCAACCCAUUCUACUAAAGUACAGAAAUCAGGAAUGCAACUUUUACUUGGAAAAAUGUCUGAAGGAAGCUCACACUCCAGGUCUUGUAUAUUGAUAGACAUUGAUAACUGGUUUUGAGCAGCUGGUGGUUUUAUUGAAACACACUGCUACUUUCCACUUUACAGAACAGAGCAGGAGCGGGCUGAGCUGGCUGUUGAAGGGAUAGGAGUAGAUUUACCCCCAGCAUUUGCACCCUUCCAGCUGCUUCCUGCUCCUUGAAUCCAAGCUGUUACAGAUGCAGGUUCUCUGCACUGUUUUUUUUCUGGAAUCAUGUUCGUUUUCUUCCCAGGGUCUGGUGUGGGCGGUGUUUUGGAUUUGUGCUGAACACCAGGCUGAAAACACAGGGGUGUUUUUGUUAUUGCUCAACAGUGUUUACACAAUGCCAGGGCCUUUGCUGUUCCUCAUGUUGUCCAUUCAGUCCGGAGGCUGGGGGUGGACAAGGAACUGGGGGAACACAGCUGGGACACUCGAUCCCAGAUGAACAAAGAGAUAUUCCAGAAGGCAUCAUGCUCAGUAUGGAGUGCUGUGGGGAGGAGAAGGAAGGGGUUUGUGUUCAGAGAGGCAGUGUUUGUCUUCCCAAGUCUCUGUUACCAGAGCCCUGCUUUCCU